rnacentral:siRNA from 1 species
UUAGAUGAGGGUAAUUUGGUU